AGGGGACUUGUCUGGAAACCAUCUCCUGUACAUUUUUUAUGCACUUCUUCAUCCAUCUCUUCAAAACAGAAGGAACUAGAACAAUACCUUGCAAGUAAGAAAUACAUGGCGAGUGCAACGGUCCUGAGAGAACAGGAACACGGAGCUUGUUGUGAGCCAGGAUCCCUGCUGGACUGCACGGGAGAGGCCCAGGUGGGGGCAGCUGUCGAGGCAGUGAUGUAUGACGAAUGACUUGUUGCCGCAAUGGAUCAUCAGAGCCUGGCUACACUGAUGACAUGUCACAGGCAUACAUCAUCAGAGCAGUGCCCGGCAGGAGCAGCAGUCUGGAAACCACCCUGCCCCAUAAAUUUUAAUACAGCCAAAUAAAAAGAGCUGUAAUUUUCUUUUCUUCUAAAUUAAAGAUUGACACUCAGGAAAGGA